GGGGGCUUGGUUUAGUGGUAUAACGCUUCGCUUGCACCGACGAGGUCCCAGUGUCCAUUUCGAUUCAUCU